AAAGGAAACCAACAGGGAUUGCCCCAGUAACGGCGAGUGAAGCGGCAAGAGCUCAAAUUUGAAAGCUGGCUCCUUCGGGGUCCGCAUUGUAAUUUGUAGAGGAUGCUUCGGGAGCGGUCCCCAUCUAAGUGCCCUGGAACGGGACGUCAUAGAGGGUGAGAAUCCCGUAUGGGAUGGGGUGUCCGCGCCCGUGUGAAGCUCCUUCGACGAGUCGAGUUGUUUGGGAAUGCAGCUCUAAAUGGGUGGUAAAUUUCAUCUAAAGCUAAAUAUUGGCCGGAGACCGAUAGCGCACAAGUAGAGUGAUCGAAAGAUGAAAAGCACUUUGAAAAGAGAGUUAAAAAGCACGUGAAAUUGUUGAAAGGGAAGCGCUUGCGACCAGACUCGCUCGCGGGGUUCAGCCGGCAUUCGUGCCGGUGUACUUCCCCGCGGGCGGGCCAGCGUCGGUUUGGGCGGUCGGUCAAAGGCCCUCGGAAGGUAACGCCCCUAGGGGCGUCUUAUAGCCGAGGGUGCAAUGCGACCUGCCUAGACCG
rnacentral:rRNA from 1 species